GGAGGCUUUGAAGAUGGGGAGAGCACCAGUCAAGUGGAUCUGAAGCAAGGAGGGAGUUCCAGGCCGGGGGAACACGGGUUGGAUGGCUGAGGAACAACAGAGGAAACCUUGGUGGCAGUGCUUAACUAAAAUCAGCUUGAAAACCACUUGUCCAACAGCAGCCAAAAGGAAACCUAGAGCCACUGAUGUGUUAGUGUCCUGCCUUUGUCCUGAUUUUAAAAUAUGCCACCAAUACGCCACAAGACUCUGAAGAGGUGUGGCCUUGUCCCAACGGCAAGCGGGAGAGCAGAGGGGAGAGGAGUAUGCUCAGUUUUGACAAAACACCUGCUUUCACUGCUCAUUUUGGGGUAGACCGCGACAGCAGAAUCAGGGAACGUCCUUCCGACAGCGUACGUUUGACUGGGUACACCGUGAUGCGGUCUUGGAAGAAACUGAU